GAUGAAGCUGCUCGUCCCUUCCUUUUCCCUUGGCGGCUGCAGAGUGUGCAGAGGAUAGUUGUGCUUCUUUUGUCAAGUGUUUCGGGAUGCCUAAAAAAAAGCGACCCUCCUUGGGAGCAGUCACUCCGAAAGCAAGGAAAGUCAGAUUACUGCGGGCCGCUGAGACAGCUGGACAGCGCGAGCAGCGUCUUGAGAAAGAGCGGGAACGGUCCCGUAAAUCGAGGGCGGCAGAGACCGUGGAGCAACGCGACCAGAGGCUGAAGAAGGAGCGAGAAAGAGCUCGCAGGACGAGGGCGGCAGAGAACGCAGAGAAACGCGAGCAGCGACUUCAAAACGAGCGAGAAAGGGCCCGGGCCAUGAGGGCCGCAGAGACUCCAGAGCAACGAGAGCGGCGGCUCGAGAACGAGCGGGAAAGGGCCCGGGCCACGAGAGCGGCAAGGCAUUCCACUGUGUCGUUGGACUGCUUUCACUACGACGAUCCGUCUAAUGUUAUUAUUGGACGAGCGGACCAGAUCUGCCGCCACUGUCACGUCAAGGCAUUCAAAUUGUAGCAGAGUGGCAUCCGGGACCACCAUUAACAAGGCACAGUCAUCCAAGUGAUGUAUUUUUGGAAACCUGGUUAUGACAGCCUGCCUUCGCAAAGGGAAGGUAGUAAGGACAGCAGCGUCGAAACUGCCUGUGCAAGAUGGUGAGCCUGAAGCAUAAGGUGUUUUGCGUCCUCCAGUUCAGCAAGACUGGCUCCGUCAUGGUGGUGUGGCGUGCCUUUCGAGGGCAGUUUGGUACCAAUCCUCCAGCACCAAAGAACAUUCGCUGCUGGUACCCGACAGUUUGAAGAAACAGGCUCUCUAUGUAAAGGGAAGAGCGCAGGGCGGCCACGUACUUCGGAAGAAAACGUGAGGCGGAUCCGGGAGAGUUUUCUGGAAAGCCCGCUCCAGUCCACUCGCUGCGCCAGCCGGGAACUGGCCAUUUCUCACAGGACCGUCUGGCGCAUCUCGAGGCAACAACGUUCAACUGCAAGGGCGUGCCAGUUGCAACUGGUGUGGCCCCUUCAUGCAGGAGACAAAAGUAAGCGCAUGGAAUUCUGUGAUGUUACAGAAUGCGGAUGGCUUACAUCCGCUGUUUUUUAGCGGCGAAGCCAUGUUUCAUCUCGGCGGGGAAGUUGGCCAUUGCGACAUGCGCAUCUGGGGAUUGCAAAAUUCCCCUGAAACUGUAGCAAAUGAGUGCAAUUUCCCCCAAGUGACUGUGUUUUGUGCUGUUUCGCAUUCUUUUUCGAGGGGAACGCAGCAACGUGACUCAGAGCGGUUUCCAAAUAGUAAAACACCAACAUACAGAGUACGCAAAACAUAAGCAUAAAAUGAUCAAAACAACACAAAUGCAUUAAAACCAAUGCCACCCAAUUAUUCGUGCAAAAAUUACUGUUAAAGCUUGACCUUGAAGGAGCUGGGGGUGGUGAUGGCAGACAGGGAGCUCUGGUGUGAACUGGUCCAUGAGAUCACAAAAAGUCAGAAGCGACUGAACAAAUGAACAACAAAGGGGCCAGAUCAAGACUAGUGCAAAAACAGGACAUUGGGGGGGGGGGGGGGGGGUAAAGUGCAAUAACUCAUCAACCCCUUUGUGACCUUUUGUGUAAUUGUAGCAUGCUAACAUCAUGAAAUAUACUGCUUUGAAAUUGGGUCCAUCUAUUUGAAACACCCCAUACAAUAUUUUCCUGUCUUUCUCUCUUUAUUCUCUACUUGAGUGGAACCUCAAAAGAAGUAAUAAGUGGCCCUUGAGCAUUAGGCCAACCCAAAAGUGUUCUGCCUUCCAUCAGGAUCACAAGUUUUCCAUCCCUGGUUUAAAGAGCAGCUGCCCAAUCUUUAUAAACGCAUCUGUGUAUUGAACCCAGUCCCCAUAGAACGGAUUGGCAGGUUUAAAUAUGGAAGGCAUCUUAUGCCUUCAAGAGAGAGCAAUUUGCAUCCAAAGCGCAUUUUGUCUUGCUAAGGCUAAAUGACCUGGUUUCGUCUGCCAUUUGUAGUAUUUUGAUGCAUUACUUCUGGGUUAAGCCGUUGCUCCUCCAUACCUUUGAAACGUUCUUGCCUUUUUUUCCCCCACCUUCUCAGCGUAGUUUGCUUCCUUCUUUUCCAGAUGCACUUUUGGUAACUGGAUUAUGAGAGCCUGCUUUCACGGAGGGAAGGCAACAGCAAGCCAAACCCUCAGACCACUUUUUAAGAUGGCUGGAGUGGAACAGUGGGUGAUGCAGGGGACUGCCGAGUUGGAAGAGACAUUUCAGGGUCCCUCUUUAGAGACCUCUUAUAGAUGGCCACCUUACUUCUGUUUAAGCAAUGGCAGGAAGGCUGUGUGCCAGGGUUCAUGUGCAAAAGGACUCACUUUGGAUCCCAGCGGGACACUUCGUUUAUGCGAGUCUUGAUCUCAUGGGCCCCUCUUUAAGAAGAAAAUCAUAUUAGCAAUACAUAAACAUCAGCUCUCAAGCUGGCACUGGAUGGCCCUCCAAGAGGGUCUUCCUCCAGGGGCAAACCAAGAAUGGGCAACUUGGAAGUCCUUGAACAGACUCAGAAGCGGAGUGGGCAGAUCAAAAGACAACCUGGCUUAAAUGGCAUCACCUAGAAGAAUCCUCCACCUUGUGUGACUGUGAAGCAGGACAACUCCGCAUCUGUAUGCUUGCUCACAAUGCCCUGCCCCAUGCACAGAGAAAGAACUGUUUAAAGCUACAGGCGGUGCGGUUGCUGUCUAAAACUAUUUAGCUGUGCUUCCUUUAUUUUAUUAUCUAUUUUAUCAGUUUUAUACUUAUUUAUUAUGCAAUGCUUUUGAUACGAAAUAAAUGAAAGCUAGCACUUAAAUGCUAACAAUAAGGCCCUUUGGAUUUCUACUUGGGGCAGGUGGGAGCCCUUUUUGUCAGGCAGCAAAGUGUACAUUGUAUUAAGUGUUUCUCUUUGCUGUGGGAUUAUUCACAAUUUGGGGCACAUAAGCGGAUUUCUACAUUUCCCAAACCUGGCUCAAUGGAGUGCAAUGGUAGCACUUCCAACUACACUACACAGAGGACUAGCCAUGGGAUGGGAGCAAAUCCUGGUUUGUUGGGGCUUUGAAAGACAAAAAAAGUUCUGUGUUUCCUAUUUGCCUGGAUUGCCUCUGUAACAAGUUUUAUCUUGGUUAUGUGUCUCCAAGUCAUUUCUGACUUAUUGCUAUCUAUAUGGAAUCUGUGUGCAUUUACUUAUUUAUGGUCCUUACCUGUAGGAUUUAUGUGUGUGUGUGUGCGUGUGUGUGUCAAGAAUGGGACUUCACACAGUGGGCAAGUCAUAUUCUCUCAGCAUCAAAUAAAGGUAACGAAUUCCCUUGGAAUAAAUCAUGGCACUAAGAA